rnacentral:rRNA from 1 species
UACAGAGGGCUCAAGCGUUGUUCGGAUUCAUUGGGCGUAAAGGGUGUGUAGGUGGCGCCGUAAGUCGGGUGUGAAAUUUCGGAGCUUAACUCCGAAAUGGCAUUGGAAACUACCUUGCUCGAGGGUUGGAGGGGGGACUGGAAUGCUUGGUGUAGCAGUGAAAUGCGUAGAUAUCAAGCGGAACACCAGUGGCGAAGGCGAGUCCCUGGACAACUCCUGACACUGAGGCACGAAAGCUAGGGGAGCAAACAGG